rnacentral:lncRNA from 1 species
GGAGGAUCAUGUGCGCGGACUAGCGCGGAGUCCCAGCACAAGAGACUUGGGAGUAUACUAUUCAUUUGUGCCUUUUCACACCUGAUUUACAAGUUCGUUCUUCUACAGUCAACAUUUUGGGAUAUAUGAGGGCUCGAAUGAAACACAUUCAUUCCUCUCUCGACACCAAAGAAAGCCCUAUCUUGUUCGUUCUCAAAACUCACUCCUCACUACAGCAAAGCAACCGAGCAAGGUGUAGUGGGGGAGCUAGCGGAAGACGACAAGACAUUUCUAUAUUUCUAUGUAUUUCAGCUGAUUUUGCUAUUGGAUUUUAUUGGUUUGAUUACGGCUUUUCAUGUGACCCGUUCUCUGCAACUUGUGUUUCUCGUUAGCUAAUCGGCCUCUCAUUGUUCUUAUUGAUCUUUUGCCAAUAUUUGGCUGUGAAAUCAACCGGUUUGGUGAAAAGUUAAGAUUUACUCUUUUUUGAAUACAAACCCUAGAAAUUUAGCUUGCUGUGAUAAUUUUCAGUCAGAUCUUCCAUGGAAAUUGCUGUUUCUCAUUAAUGUUCCAAAGUUCUUGUCUCCUCCUUACUCUUCUUGCAACAAAAAUCAUAGAGGUAUACCUUUUAAAAAAAAUUUACAUAGAAGGUUUCGAAAUUUUAGGAGUCGUUUGUUCUUUUUUUUUUUUUUUUUGGUAGGGGGUUUUAAGUUUUUAUUUUUCUUUGAUUUUGUUAUUCUAUCUUAUUUCAAAUUCCAAGUUCUUGAUCUGUGCUCUAUAUUUUGUUUCUGAUUUUUGGCUGAAUUGUCUUUUCUAUUUCAAUCUAACGUUUGUUCAUUGAUAUUGUGCAAGGCCUAACUCAUAUCUAUCUCUGGGAUCUUUCUACUUUUCGUUCUCUAUUGCCAGCAGGUAUGACUAUUUAUAUCUCUUAAGUAUUAUUUUUUUAGUGCAGUUAUUUGUAUAGUUCUAUAUUGUAUCUUCAUUGUAUUAACAAUUAAAAUUCUGUAUUAGGAGCAUGUUUAAAUCUUUAGGCAGAUUGUUCUCUAUCAGAAUUGGAAUUACCAUAAUCUAUAGGAUGUCAUUAGUCCUAAUGCACAAGUAAUUAAUACCUUAUCUUUAUCCUGCAAGAUCAAGGUUGUGGCUCUUUUUAUAUCUCAACCAUUAUCUGCUCCUCGUUCAAUCUCAUAGACAUUAAAUACAGAUAUAGGAGGCCUUGAGUGUUAUAUAUUUUUGCCUUAGAAGACAAUAUUCCUCCAAUUCUCAAAAUAUCGAGUGUUGUUCGACAAAUGGCGGAUUCUGUAAGUUUCCUUUCGUCUUUUAAAUAAUGGAGAUAAUUAUAAAUUUUUACCCAAUUUUGAUGAAAUUGGUGUGUGAUUGCUAUUUAUAGAUGUUUGCAAGUGUUGGGAACUUCGAGCUUCUUUAUGUGGUUUUCUUGGAGCAAGAAAGUCUCUGAAUUCAUCAAUUGGAUUGUAUGGGUAAACAUUUCUAGCUGUACUUAAAUGCUGAAAUACAUAUUGCACAAUACUCUUUUCUUACUUUUGCCUUUUUCCUUUGUCAUCCUUAAUAAAGGAACAGAUAGUGCAAGAUAUGAAUCAAUAGUGGUUUACCAAAUUUAUUAUUCCAAGUUGUUAGUGCAACUCAAUUUGUAAUAAUGAAACGAAUAAGUAUAAGAGAUCAUGGUUAAAUUUUGUGAAAUAGUCAUGUCAAUUCUAUCGAGCUGUAUGAUCACAAUGUAGUGGUUAAAGAGCUUCUGCUAAAGUGAUUGCAGCCUUGAUAAUAAACACAUUAGUAGAAAGUAGGGAAAUUAAUUACAGCAAGAAUUUUAUUACUUAGAAGUAAAAAUGCAAAGAUGGCAUCAUAAUGCAAUUAUCAUUUUCGUGGAAGAUGUGAUGAUCGAACACCUGAGCAAAUGUUUGGCUUUGACAAAAAAUAACAUCUCAAACUGAUUUGUUUAUCAAGCAUUUACAAGAUUUUGAUGUCUCAUUGAGUUUCCUAUUUUUCUGUAUUUCUAAUUAGUCCAUUCUUCUUUUGUGAGAAAAAAAAAAAAGAUUGAUUUACCUCUUGACUUGACCAGUAUAGAGAUAUAUUGCUAGGAAUCCUUGUUUCAAGUUACUUUUAAGAUUUUCUUUUGGCCACAAUGGUAUGUUUCUUAAUACUUGCUUAUAUAAUAAAUCCACGUAGUAACACAAGCAGAACUUGAUAUUACUUUUUAUCUAAAGUUAUACUUCUUCUCCUUUGAGCUCCAUAACUCAUGUGACAAGUAUUAUCCUGAUCGAUAUGUAAUAUGUAAUAUAUAUUAUUUAUCUUUCAAAAAAAAAUAUGUAGUAUGUAUUAUUUAUCUUAUGAACUAAAUUAAUAUGGAGCUUUCAUUUCAUAAAUAUGGGAAUUUAUUCCAUCUAUUGACUAUUGUAUUGUUGCGGACAAUUGAAAGCUAUUUUCAUGGGAUUUUUUGCAAGGAUAACUCAAACAUUCUUCGACCUGAAGGAGAAUCCGCGUAGAUGAUGUCUUAAGAUCUACAAGAAGACUUUAACCACCAGGUCCACCCUCAUAGUCCCCUCCAACGAUAUCUCGUAAUUCCAUGAUCUAUUCAAUCAGUAUACUAAUUUUGACGACCAUGAUGUUUUUAGCAAACUCCAACUUGACACUAAGGCACCUAUAGAAACUGCAUACACAUAUACACCCACCCCAAACAUUGUAUUGGUCCCCCUAAUUUUAUUUCUCGUCUAUGUUCUUCUAGGGUUUAUCCUUGAAGGUAUUUUAUGUUUACACUGGUGACAUAAUAGAAGGGGUUUCUUUUUGAAGGUUAGUUUCUUCCUUUUCCCAUUUACUAUCUAAUUUCUAUGUUCUCUUGUAUUUGUACGAGGCCAACAUUUUCUAAUUAUUACAUAAGAGAUUGCUAUUUUUGUUAAUUUGGAGUUCUCAGAGGUUUUUGUCUACCUGUAGACUCUAUAUUAAGAUGGGCAGUGGAGGUUUUCCUAGUAUCUUUCUGCUAUUGAUUAUACCAAAUGGCACGGUAGGUGUUUGAUAGGAUUUUAAAAUUUUAUUUUUUCCAGGUCGUUGUUUAAGCUUUUUUGUUUGCUUAAGUAGUUAUAUAUGGUAUCAAUUCUAUUUUUGUACUUUUUAUUCGUAUUUUUAUGGAAGAUUUGAAUAAAGGGGUUUUAUUGUUUAAUUUACAUGCCUUCAGAAUAGAAUUCUUUAAUUAUACACUGUAUUGUAUGAUGAUAAGAGACUCACCCAGAAUGUGAUGUCAUUGCAUGUACAACUUAGUCGAUGGUGCUGACUCAGGCAAUAUUUAUUGAAGGUUGUAAAUUAGUGGCUGCAAGAAUGAAUUAAUGGACUUGCUCAGUGGUAUAAAUAUGCCUAUUGAUGCUGUAUUUCAUAUUUGAAGAGCAUAGCAGUACUGACAAGUACACCUAAAGAGAUUACACAUGUGAGUGGCUUAGCAAGAAUAUUUUUUAACUAUUUUGAAUGAAUUCGCUAGAAAAAUGACCACUAUGUUUGAAACCUUGCUUUAUGAUUAUAUUUGAAGAAAACAAGGUUUGUGCUUAAUCUAUUGUUGGCACAUAAAAAUUAUUGGUACAACUGAAAAAGAAUGUGCUUGCCUGUAUGUUCCUUCACUUGGAGCCAUUCAACAUUGUCCAAUGUAAAACUGGUUUUCACACGUUCUUAGACUUAAUUCCACUAAACUGAGAAAUGUAUACUUGAAAUUGUUUCUGAUUUUAUUUGGUGCACCAUUUUUGUAAUUUUCUAAUAAUUAAUCACUUUGGGAGGCAAUUUCUUAACUUGGAUACUAGUGUUCUUUUCACUUUUUUUUUUGCUCUAAUUCGUUUAUCUGAAUUCUAGGUGGGCAUUAUCUUUGCAAUUGGUGAAUAAGAAAAUUGGGAAACUGAUAGCACGGACAAUGGAGAAAGUCGAUAAGGAAUGAAUCAUCACUAUUGUUAUAAAUAUGCUGCAUUUUGGAACUCUCCAUAUGUAAUUUUCUAUGCAUGAUGGAGGGUAAGUCACCUGCAAUCAUGCAGGAUGGAAAUUUUAAGGAUGAUGAGUUGGAAGUGGUGGAAAGGAUGAAACCAGCUCGUCGUUAUAAAUCUCCUUAUUUUGUUACGGAAGAGGAGUAAAAAAUGUGUAUUGUAAAUCUUGUAUUUAUGGAGGUCGGAUUUUUCUAACUCUUUCUCAUCCUUUCAUAUGAUCUAAAUUUUUACUUCAAUUCUUCACUUUGUUUGUUUGUUUGUAAUUGAUUCUCAUUUGCUAUGUCUUGCAGUGAGGUAAUUUUCCUCGUGUCAAAAUGAGAUAAAUCUAUUUCCAAAACCUAA